CCAUGUGAUGGAAGUUGAAUGAGGGGAUGGCUGUCUGUGUGUGUAUGUGCAGGUAGUGACAGUUGGGGUGAGAUAUGACAGAGUGUGAUACUCUGGGUUGCAGACUUGAUGUCAGAGAGAUCAGCACAGAGCAGUGUGCCAUGAUGAUUUUGAUUGAUACAUGGGAGUAGGCAGUUAUUAAUCAGAGCAAUGAACCAUGCCACAUCAGCCCUACUUUUGCUUCCUUGUCUUCUAAUUUUAUUACAUUUACUCUUCCUCUGCCUCCUUUUCCUUUUUCCUUCUUCCUUCCCUGUCUUCCCUUCCCACAUGGCUUUAUUUCAGGUGCAUGCUGAAGCAUUUGAUGAUCUGGUGGUGGGCGGUGGUGGUGGUUAUGAGCUCUACAUGGUCUGUGUGGAUUUGGGGCUGCACGCAGAAGAGCUUGUGAGUGUCUGGUAGGCUACAUCAUGAGAGCCUCUGACAGGCACAGUGAUACACGAUACCAGGCAUGAAGCCCAGC
rnacentral:lncRNA from 1 species